ACCCGAAGCGGGGUGAUCUACCCAUGGCCAGUGUGAAGCAGCUGUAAGAGGUUGUGGAGGCGCGAACCCACUUAGGUUGAAAACUGAGGGGAUGAGCUGUGGGUAGGGGUGAAAGGCCAAUCAAACUCCGUGAUAGCUGGUUCUCCCCGAAAUGCAUUUAGGUGCAGCGUUAUACAAGCUUGCUGGAGGUAGAGCUACUGGUUGGUUGAGCGGGACUAUCAUCUUAGCAAUGUCAGCCAAACUCCGAAUGCCGGUUAAAAGUGGUGUAUAGCAGUGAGACUGUGGGGGAUAAGCUUCAUAGUCGAGAGGGAAACAGCCCAGAUCGCCGGUUAAGGCCCCUAAGGGUGUACUAAGUGGAAAAGGAUGUAGGAUCGCGAAGACAGCCAGGAGGUUGGCUUAGAAGCAGCCACCCUUGAAAGAGUGCGUAAUAGCUCACUGGUCGAGUGGUUCCGCGCCGACAAUUUAGUGGGGCUCAAGUACACCGCCGAAGCCGCGGCAUAGUUUUUACUAUGGGUAGGGGAGCGUCGUGUGUGGGGUGAAGCAUUACCGUAAGGGGGUGUGGACUGCACGCGAGUGAGAAUGCAGGCAUGAGUAACGAAUGAUACGUGAGAAUCGUAUCCGCCGAAUGACGAAGGGUUCCUGGGUCAAGUUCGUCUUCCCAGGGUGAGUCGGGUCCUAAGGCGAGGCCGACAGGCGUAGUCGAUGGUCAACGGGUUGAUAUUCCCGUACCCGCCUACACGCGACCAAUGCUGAAGCAAUGAUACUAACCACCCAAAGCUACUGAUAUACGCACCCUUGUGGUGUGUGGUUGGUGGUGAUGCGUGGGGCCUGAUUUGUUGUAGGUAAGUGAUGGGGUGACGCAGAGUGGUAGCCACGCCAGUUAUUGGAUUCUGGUGCAAGCGUGCAGCACGACAACAUGGCAAAUCCGGUUGUUAUAUGUGCAAGGCGUGAUGCGUAGCCCAUAUAUGGGUGAUGGUGGUGAUCCUGUGCUGCCGAGAAAAGCCUCUAGCGAUGUGUGUAGACGGCCCGUACCCGAAACCGACACAGGUAGUCAGGUAGAGCAUACUAAGGCGAGCGGGUGAACUGUGGUUAAGGAACUCGGCAAAAUGCCCCCGUAACUUCGGGAGAAGGGGGACCCAAACCGGUAGCUAAUCCUUGCGGUUAGUGUGCUGGUGUGGGUCGCAGAGAAGAGAGGGGAGCGACUGUUUAUCAAAAACACAGGUCCGUGCGAAGACGGUUAAGUUGAUGUAUACGGACUGACGCCUGCCCGGUGCUGGAAGGUUAAGAGGACCUGUUAGACCCUUUUGGGUCGAAGCGGAGAAUUUAAGCCCCAGUAAACGGCGGUGGUAACUAUAACCAUCCUAAGGUAGCGAAAUUCCUUGUCGGGUAAGUUCCGACCUGCACGAAUGGCGUAACGACUCCCCUGCUGUCUCAACCACAGGCCCGGUGAAAUUGCAGUACGAGUAAAGAUGCUCGUUUCGCGCGGCAGGACGAAAAGACCCCGGGACCUUCACUACAGCUUGGUAUUGGUGUUCGGUGCGGUUUGUGUAGGAUAGGUGGGAGACGUUGAUACAGCCACGCCAGUGGUUGUGGAGUCGUUGUUGAAAUACCACUCUGACCGUAGUGGAUACCUGAACCUUGGCCCAUGAUCUGGGUUGGGGACAGUGCCUGGUGGGUAGUUUAACUGGGGCGGUUGCCUCCCAAAAUGUAACGGAGGCGCCCAAAGGUUCCCUCAGCCUGGUUGGCAAUCAGGUGUUUAGAGUGUAAGUGCACAAGGGAGCUUGACUGCGAGACUUACAAGUCGAGCAGGGACGAAAGUCGGGACUAGUGAUCCGGCACCUACUUGUGGAUGUGGUGUCGCUCAACGGAUAAAAGGUACCCCGGGGAUAACAGGCUGAUCUUCCCCAAGAGUCCAUAUCGACGGGAUGGUUUGGCACCUCGAUGUCGGCUCGUCGCAUCCUGGGGCUGGAGUAGGUCCCAAGGGUUGGGCUGUUCGCCCAUUAAAGCGGCACGCGAGCUGGGUUCAGAACGUCGUGAGACAGUUCGGUCUCUAUCCGCCGCGCGCGUUGAAACUUGAAGAAGGCUGUCCCUAGUACGAGAGGACCGGGACGGACGUACCUCUAGUGUGCCAGUUGUUCCGCCAGGAGCAUCGCUGGUUGGCUACGUACGGAAGGGAUAACCGCUGAAAGCAUCUAAGCGGGAAGCCUGUUUUAAGAUGAGGUUUCAUUAUAGGUGCCCUAUAGACUAUGGGGUUGAUAGGCCAGAACUGGAAACACAGCAAUGUGAUGAGGUGACUGGUACUAAUCCACCAACACAAACAACAACA
rnacentral:rRNA from 1 species